rnacentral:lncRNA from 12 species
GUUUUCUGCAUCAGCAGAAUUGGAAGUGACCACAAGAUUGAUACAAUACCUUGGAGAUCUGUUGCUUCUCCCAAACAGCUGCCCUACAAGCACACUCACAUAGGGAGCUCCUCUCUUGGUUUUGCGAGUGUUGAUAAGCUUGUGUGUGCAACCUACUCUUCAAUAUUAUAAAACAAUUUUUACAGGAUUUGUG